rnacentral:rRNA from 1 species
GUUUGAUCCUGGCUCAGAUUGAACGCUGGCGGCAUGCCUUACACAUGCAAGUCGAACGGCAGCACAGGUGCUUGCACCUGGUGGCGAGUGGCGAACGGGUGAGUAAUAUAUCGGAACGUACCCAGUAGUGGGGGAUAACUAUCCGAAAGGAUAGCUAAUACCGCAUACGAUCUAGGGAUGAAAGCAGGGGAUCUUCGGACCUUGUGCUAUUGGAGCGGCCGAUAUCUGAUUAGCUAGUUGGUGAGGUAAAAGCUCACCAAGGCGACGAUCAGUAGCUGGUCUGAGAGGACGACCAGCCACACUGGAACUGAGACACGGUCCAGACUCCUACGGGAGGCAGCAGUGGGGAAUUUUGGACAAUGGGCGCAAGCCUGAUCCAGCAAUGCCGCGUGAGUGAAGAAGGCCUUCGGGUUGUAAAGCUCUUUUGUCAGGGAAGAAAAGGUGCGCUCUAACAUAGCGUACUGAUGACGGUACCUGAAGAAUAAGCACCGGCUAACUACGUGCCAGCAGCCGCGGUAAUACGUAGGGUGCAAGCGUUAAUCGGAAUUACUGGGCGUAAAGCGUGCGCAGGCGGUUUUAUAAGUCUGAUGUGAAAUCCCCGGGCUCAACCUGGGAACUGCAUUGGAGACUGUAAGGCUAGAGUGUGUCAGAGGGGGGUAGAAUUCCACGUGUAGCAGUGAAAUGCGUAGAUAUGUGGAGGAAUACCGAUGGCGAAGGCAGCCCCCUGGGAUAACACUGACGCUCAUGCACGAAGCGUGGGAGCAAACAGGAUUAGAUACCCUGGUAGUCCACGCCCUAAACGAUGUCUACUAGUUGUCGGGACUUAAUUGUCUUGGUAACGCAGCUAACGCGUGAAGUAGACCGCCUGGGGAGUACGGUCGCAAGAUUAAAACUCAAAGGAAUUGACGGGGACCCGCACAAG